UACGGGGGGGGGCAAGCGUUGUUCGGAAUUACUGGGCGUAAAGGGCUCGUAGGUGGCCAACUAAGUCGGACGUGAAAUCCCUCGGCUUAACCGGGGAACUGCGUCUGAUACUGGAUGGCUUGAGUUCGGGAGAGGGAUGCGGAAUUCCAGGUGUAGCGGUGAAAUGCGUAGAUAUCUGGAGGAACACCGGUGGCGAAAGCGGCUCUCUGGGACGGUACUGACGCUGAGACGCGAAAGCGUGGGGGAGCGAACAGG
rnacentral:rRNA from 1 species